CUCUGGGCACUAGCGAGGAGCCUGGGGAGGGGGGACGGGAAUUCCCCCAGAGGCCAGGGCUUGACUGCCCUGCAGGGCCCUCGCUGUCGCUUUUUUCCCUCACGAUGUCUCAUCCCUCAACCUCUGUUCUCCAUCCAAAGGCAUCUCUGUGAAUCCACCUGGCACGGGAGCGGCGCUGAUGCCACAAAUGCGGGCCUGACUGCUGGGCGGAGCUCGCCAGUCAACAGGGCUUGGUGUGGCUGGGGCAGCCCUGAGACCCCAGGCCCUGCCGCUGCGGCUUCCCCUUCCUGGCUCCUCUUCUCUGUGGGACGGAAAGGCUCUCUCCUGGGGAAGGCUCAGAGCUGAGCUGAUGGGUGUUUGAAGUUUCUCCACACACAGGGUCCCCUGGCAUCUCCCUCUGUCAUUUGGUGGCCAAGUGACAUUUCCCAGCAGCCCUGCUGCAGACGCCAUCUGUUCUCGGGGGAGACUCAGGUGGCCUGGGCCCUUCUGGUAGCCGCUUACCCAGCCUGACCCCAGGCUCCAGCGAGGCUGCUCCAGAUCGGGGCUUCUCUGCCCAGGUGAAGGGCGGGUGUGGGAGUUUUCUGUAGAGGCCGCUGUCCCCUGCUACCCCGGCCCCGUGUGGGACCCUGGGUCUGUCUGACAGACAGAGGCUUCCUGAGCCGGGCCCUUGGGAUGACGGGUAGGAAUCUAGGGUGGAUCCACAGGAAUUAGAGAUUUUAUCAGUUUUGUUUUCUAAAUGAAAUUCUACAGCCCCAUAGCAGCGUGAUGCUGAUGGUCCUGUCCCCUAUGGCCCCCAUCCUGGAGGCGCCCUGGUGUGGGCUGUGGGCCUGGGGGUACUUAGCACUGUCCAGUAUGCGGACGUGCCAGCAGCCCACAUUUCCCCCAGUGACCACCAGGCUGUGCCCUGGACAUGGCCGUCUGAGCACGUCGUGUCCUGGGGGCAGGGCCCCGUCUGGUGGUCAGGCUCAGUGCGAGCCCAUCAGGGGUGCUCUGCCCGCCUGGGGAGACAGCGUGGCUUCUGGGGGCUCCUCCAGGGAGGCUCUGGACCAGGCUGCAGAGGAUGCCAACCUGCCACAGGCUGGCCUGGCCGCUCAUGGACAUGGUGGCUCCUGGCCCAGGGUCUCUCCCCUGGGAACCCAGGCGUGCUCGCGGCCCUCUGGAAUGCAGGCGCUGGGGCUGUGGGGGGCCGCCUGGCGCCUGGCAUCUUGUUAUAAAAAGCUCUGGCGCAGGCUGCUCUCAGUGGCUGCAGGAUGGUUGUGGCUUUGGAAGGGCAGCCCCCAGGGGCCUUGGUCAGCCACCUGUGGGCCCCACUGCCGGGCCGUGGUCAGCCCUCACUGGCUGCCCUGCCAUGACGCUGCCGAGGCCAAUGCAGCUCCCGCCAGACUCCUGUGACAAGUCAUGACAGAGCCACAUGCUGGGUGGCUGCAGGGCCCUGUCGCCCACAGCAGUCGAGGUCUCAGGUGUGUCUGGAGGGCAACCCUGGAGACACCUGGGACAGGUGUACCUCUGGCAGGCACACCCAGGCUGUCACCCAGUGUGGGCAUGGUGGGGGUGCUGGAAUGCUGUGCAGGGCAGGAGGCAGCAGCCCGUGGCUGCGUGGGAGACUGCAGGGGAGACGGGACGGGACCAGGAGGGUUGUUCCCAGGGCCUGCCAAGCCAUCCCCAGGUGUUGAGAGUGGGAGGUAGGGGUGGGAGCCGAGAGCCGGCUCCGGGCCACCCCCACUCCCAAUGGCUCUCGGCUGUUCUGUGUGAGAGGGGCGGGGCCGAGUGUGGGUCAGCGCAGUGCUGAGGUGUCCCACGCACUCCAGCACUGGGCUGAAUGCAUUGAAAUCACUGCCCAGGGCUCCGCGAGCUGCAUGGCCCGGCUUUGUCAAUUUCAUUGCUGUUGAUGCCAAUUAGGAGUGACGCUGUCCCUCCCGCAUCCCAGGGUGGGCAGAGGGAGGGGCCGGCUUGUUCCCUGGGGGCAAGCAAGCAUGGAGUCAGCCUGGCCAUGGAGCCGUGGCCAAGAGGGCAGUGGGGGCAGCGGGGGCAGCUGGACUGGGGUUUUUGCCGACGCUCUAAUUUGGCGGCCGUCGCCACCCCUCCUUCCCAUGGAGACCCUGACGUGGCCUGAGCCAGACUCCAGGGACCAUGUGCCCUGCUGGGGAGCAGGGGCUCGGCGUCAGGUCUGGUGCACUGACUGGGAGAGGGGGGUCUCCAGCCCUGGACAGGCCCUGAGUGGGGUGGGGGCCCCCAGCUGCUGUGCCCAGCCCUGCCCCCAGGACCUGGCCUUGGCCCUGCACUGGCCAGGGCCAGGGAGGGAGUGGGCCCAGCUCCCAAGUCUGUGUGACCACCUCGGCUGGGGGCACCGACAGCUCGGGGUGCGGAGGGCCCAGCCCGUGACACCCGCUGUCAGCUGCGCCCUCUGCCUCCAGCCCGUGGACCGGGAGCCUGUGGACCGGGAGCCUGUGGACCGGGAGCCCGUGGACCGGGAGCCAGUGGUGUGCCACCCCGACCUGGAGGAGCGGCUGCAGGCCUGGCCAGCGGAGCUGCCUGAUGAGUUCUUUGAGCUGACGGUGGACGACGUGAGAAGACGCUUGGCCCAGCUCAAGAGUGAGCGGAAGCGCCUGGAAGAAGCCCCCUUGAUGACCAAGGCCUUCAGGGAGGCGCAGAUAAAGGAGAAGCUGGAGCGGUGGCUCUGAGGGUCCUGUUCCCCGACCGCUACGUCCUACAGGGCUUCUUUCGCCCCAGCGAGACAGUGGGGGACUUGCGAGACUUCGUGAGGAGCCACCUGGGGAACCCCGAGCUGUCGUUUUACCUGUUCAUCACCCCUCCAAAAACAGUCCUGGACGACCACACGCGGACCCUCUUUCAGGUGAACCUCUUCCCGACUGCUCUGGUGCACUUUGGAGCCGAGGAGCCGGCAGGUGUCUACCUGGAGCCUGGCCUGCUGGAGCAUGCCAUCUCCCCAUCUGCGGCCGACGUGCUGGUGGCCAGGUAAGUGCCGGUGGGUCUGGGGGCACCUCCCGUGGCGGCACUCACCACUCUGUGUCUUCGCCUCCCCACAGGUACAUGUCCAGGGCUGCCAGGUCCCCUUCCCCAUUGCCAGCCCCUGACCCUGCACCUGAGUCUGAGCCAGCUGCUGAGGACGGGGCGCUGGUCCCCCCAGAGCCCAUCCCAGGGACGGCCCAGCCCGUGAAGAGGAGCCUGGGCAAGGUGCCCAAGUGGCUGAAGCUGCCUGCCAGCAAGAGGUGAGAGCUGCCAGCCCGAGGUGCCCACUCUGCCAGCCACAGGACCACCUCCCCUGCCAGCAGGAAUAAAGACUUGUGCAUCCCUC
rnacentral:sRNA from 1 species